GCAUUGGUGGUUCAGUGGUAGAAUUCUCGCCUUCUAUGUGAGAGACCUAGGUCCAGUUCCUGGCCAAUACA
rnacentral:tRNA from 2 species